CCUACGGGUGACAGCAGUGGGGAAUAUUGCGCAAUGGGCGAAAGCCUGAUGGAGCAACGCCGCGUGCAGGAUGAAGGCCUUCGGGUUGUAAACUGCUUUUAUAAGCGAGAAAUAUGAUGGUAACUUAUGAAUAAGGAUCGGCUAACUACGUGCCAGCAGCCGCGGUCAUACGUAGGAUCCGAGCAUUAUCCGGAGUGACUGGGUGUAAAGAGUUGCGUAGGUGGCAUAAUAAGUAGCUAGUGAAAUCUGGUGGCUCAACCAUUCAGACGAUUAGCUAAACUGUUAAGCUCGAGACCGUUAGGGGUAACUGGAAUUUCUAGUGUAGGAGUGAAAUCCGUAGAUAUUAGAAGGAACACCAAUAGCGUAGGCAGGUUGCUGGGACGGUUCUGACACUAAGGCACGAAAGCGUAGGGAGCAAACGGGAUUAGAUACCCGGGUAGUC
rnacentral:rRNA from 1 species